UACGUAGGGGGCUAGCGUUGUCCGGAAUCAUUGGGCGUAAAGCGCGCGUAGGCGGCCCGGUAAGUCCGCUGUAAAAGUCAAAGGCUCAACCUUUGAAUGUCAGUGGAUACUGCCGGGCUAGAGUCCGGAAGAGGCGAGUGGAACUCCUGGUGUAGCGGUGGAAUGCGCAGAUAUCAGGAGGAACACCGGUGGCGAAGGCGGAUCUCUGGGCCUUACCUGACGCUCAGGCGCGAAAGCUAGGGGAGCGAACUGG
rnacentral:rRNA from 1 species